UAAGAUCGGGAGACAGUCUGAUGCGG
rnacentral:sRNA from 1 species